rnacentral:rRNA from 1 species
UACGUAGGGGGCAAGCGUUGUCCGGAAUCAUUGGGCGUAAAGCGCGUGUAGGCGGUCCGGUAAGUCCGCUGUGAAAGUCGGGGGCUCAACCCUCGGAUGCCGGUGGAUACUGUCGGGCUUGAGUACGGAAGAGGCGAGUGGAAUUCCAGGUGUAGCGGUGAAAUGCGUAGAUAUCUGGAGGAACACCGGUGGCGAAGGCGGCAUCCUGGACCGGCAUUGACGCUGAGGCGCGAAAGCCAGGGGAGCAAACGGG